rnacentral:rRNA from 1 species
AACGCGAAGAACCUUACCCAGGCUUGACAUCCAGAGGAAGACUGCAGAGACGUAGUCGCUGGGGCAACCCGGCCUUUGGACAGGUGCUGCAUGGUUGUCGUCAGCUCGUGCCGUGAGGUGUUAGGUUAAGUCCUGCAACGAGCGCAACCCUCAUCCUUAGUUGCCAGCGGGUUAUGCCGGGCACUCUAUGGAAACUGCCGCUGAUAAGGCGGAGGAAGGUGGGGAUGACGUCAAAUCAGCAUGGCCCUUACGUCUGGGGCUACACACGUGCUACAAUGGGUGGUACAACGGGAAGCGAAGGAGCAAUCUGGAGCAAAUCCCACAAAACCAUCCUCAGUUCGGAUUGUAGGCUGCAACCCGCCUACAUGAAGUCGGAAUCGCUAGUAACCGCAGAUCAGCAUUGCUGCGGUGAAUACGUUCCCGGGCCUUGUACACACCGCUCGUC